AUUGCCUUGUUUGCAAGAGUAAGUUUUUUCUGACUUGGGGAAUAAAAGGCAUUUUUGCAGACUGUCAAGCCCCCUGAACUCUAGAAAGGCAUCUAGAAGAUAAAGGGAGAUAAUGGAGAACGCUUUCGCACUCUGGGAAUGAGGGGAAAUAAGAAAGACUGUCUCUCCCUUGGCCUCGUUUCUGAACCAGCUUACCCAUCUUUGAAGCUGAACGGCUUCCAAUGCAGAUAUCACAGAAAAGGCAUCAAUGAAAAAGAGCUGCAGCUCAGAGUGAAAACACUGGAGAACUGAGCCUCCCUCCUGCUCCAAGAGACAGUUUCUGCCCUUCAGGUUGUGCGGUCCCAGCUGAGGCAGGGAGAGGUAGGUCCAACAGCCUUUAGUAGUUUACAGCUGAAGACCAUUUAGGUAUCAACCUUUCUUGCAACAGAGAACCUAGGUGGCUUGUGGGUAGUGGGUCAAACACAAAUUCUAAU
rnacentral:lncRNA from 1 species